UCAAAUUGAUUGAUUGAGAUGCUAACAUAAUCAAGGGCCGAUAGCCGAUAGACUAGGAAUGGGCUAAUAUCAGCCCAAAAUACCAUCCCAACCGAUUAUCGGUCGGUCUCUAGUUGGCAGCACUGUUUACUAUUUUCUUCACACUCAUCUCUAGUUGGCAUGGUCAAGUUCCUUAUUCUGCAUAGGUGUGAAGAGAAACUAUUUCCACUCCAUAACAACGGAAGUGAUACGUGCAUACUAAUGAUGCAGUGAAGAAAUUCUACUCAAACACAAUUGGGAUUUGUUUAACAAACUACAUUUAUUUUUUAACACUUCUGCAACUGCAAUAAAAAGUGUAUUUCGAAAAUAAGUUAUUCAACAGCAGAAAUGUUACAAAAAAACAAGUGCAAAUAGUAAAAGGAAUGAACAGAACAGGUGAAAAUAUAUAGGUCAAUCCUACUAGGAUUCAUCUUUUGCAUUGUUCAACAAAGUGCCUGAAAGAAAUCACGUGA